rnacentral:rRNA from 1 species
AUACGGAGGGGGCAAGCGUUGUUCGGAAUUACGGGGCGUAAAGGGCGCGCAGGCGGUUUUGUUAGUCAGGCGUGAAAUCCCCGGGCUUAACCUGGGAAUUGCGUUUGAUACUGCAAAACUAGAGUUCGGGAGAGGGUAGUGGAAUUCCCAGUGUAGAGGUGAAAUUCGUAGAUAUUGGGAAGAACACCAGUGGCGAAGGCGGCUACCUGGACCGAUACUGACGCUGAGGCGCGAAAGCGUGGGGAGCAAACAGGAUUAGAUACCCUAGUAGUCC